GGAAUCCUCCACAAUGGACGCAAGUCUGAUGGAGCAACGCCGCGUGAGUGAAGAAGGGUUUCGGCUCGUAAAACACUGUUGUAAGAGAAGAAUGACAUUGAGAGUAACUGUUCAAUGUGUGACGGUAUCUUACCAGAAAGGAACGGCUAAAUACGUGCCAG
rnacentral:rRNA from 1 species